ensembl:misc_RNA 7SK 7SK RNA
GGAUGUGAGGGCGAUCUGGCUGCGACAUCUGUCACCCCAUUGAUCGCCAGGGUUGAUUCGGCUGAUCUGGCUGGCUAGGCAUGUGUCCCCUUCCUCCCUCACCGCUCCAUGCACGUCCCUCCCGAAACUGCAUGCUCGGUCUAAGAGGACGACCAUCCCCGAUAGAGGAGGACCGUUCUUCUCGGUCAAGGGCAUACGAGUAGCUGCGCUCCCCUGCUCUCCAAAACAAGCUCUCAAGAGUCUCUCCUCAUGAAUUCCCCACCUGACAUAAAU